CACAGUGCGGGAUGUUUUAAUCACAGAGGUGUCGCCUUCCUGGCGCUCGUCAAGGUCCCCACGCACCCGGAACAGCCCCCAUCUAAUCAGCCGUGAAGAAAUAAGCGCAGCAAGACACUCUAGGAAAGUCGAUUUCCAAGAGAGGAAUCUUCCAUUCUUCCUCCCAGAGGAUGUAAGCUGAUCUACCAUCAUUCUGGCUGCUGGGCAGGGAAAGUGAGUGAGGCGUUCGCCACCCACCUCCAGAUUGCAAGCUCCAGGAAGGCUGAGUUUGUGCUGCAUUUUAUUCACCGUUGUAUCCCCAGCACCCAGUACAGUGCUUGCCAGUUGCAGGGACUGGUGUUCCAGCAGCCACUUUGGACCAUGAAGUGACCUUGGGAAUGAAAGUCAAUGAUGGUGGAGCAAAAAUACUGAAGCCUGGGUUACUGACAAUACCACAGAGCUCCAUGCCUCCCUUGCACUGCCUGCUUCCCAGAUUUCUUUUAUGCAAGACAAAAAUAAACUUCAGUGUUACUAAUGCCCUUUGUCCUUUUGUGUGUAUGUGAUAUGUAGGCAAAUCUAAUCCUAAUACUACUUUAAAUAGGUAUUAAAUGAAAAGGGCCAAAUAAUUUUGAGAAAUAUUAUGUUAAAGUUUAACAGAUUUCGUCAAUGCAGGACUUCUCAGAGUUUUUAAUGAACAAUGGGAGCUUCCAAGAGGGACUCAAGUAUGCACAAUGUCCAAACCAACCUGACCCCCAAACUCUUUUUAGUGGAGCAUCUCAUGAGAAGAAUGAUUUAGAGCAAAGGGAAAUGUUACUUUAAAGAAAUCCACAUCUUGGCCUCUUCCUUUCUAAUCCAUCCUUCUUCUAGGCUGCUAGAGAGAUCUUUCUAAAACAUA